UUAAAAUGGCGGUACACCGUAAAGGGACGACAAUAUCGCAACAGUUCCUCAAAUGUUUCACGACACUUCGGGCUAACUUACGUGAUACCUGGUUUCUCAGAGAGGAAGGGGAAGAAUCUCAGGGUUUGUGAUGGCGGUCUAAAUGUCUUCGACUUCACUCUCUUCAAUCAGAUAUCAAAGGUCAACUGGAUUAAAAGGACCUGAGCCCUAGGACCAUGCCUCAGGACUACCUGGCAUG